GGGUGCGAUCAUACCAGCACUAAUGCACCGGAUCCCAACAGAACUCCGAAGUUAAACGUGCUUGGGCGAGAGUAGUACUAAGAUGGGUGACCUCUUGGGAAGUCCUCGUGUUGCACCCCAGG
rnacentral:rRNA from 1 species